CCCUUAGAUGUUCUGGGCCGCACGCGCGUUACACUGAUGCAUUCAACAAGUUUGUUUUUGUUCCUUGGCCGAGAGGCCUGGGUAAUCUUGUAAUGUGCAUCGUGAUAGGGAUAGAUUAUUGCAAUUAUUAAUCUUGAACGAGGAAUUCCUAGUAAACGCAGAUCAUCAAUCUGCAUUGAUUACGUCCCUGCCCUUUGUACACACCGCCCGUCGCACCUACCGAUUGAAUGGUCCGGUGAAGCCUCGGGAUUGUGGCUGGUUCCCUUUAUUGGGGAUUGGUUGCGAGAACUUGUCUAAACCUUAUCAUUUAGAGGAAGGUGANGUCGUNACA
rnacentral:rRNA from 1 species